UACAGGGGGGUGCAAACGUUGCUCGGAAUCAUUGGGCGUAAAGCGCACGUAGGCGGUUCGUUAUGUCGGAUGUGAAAGCCCUUGGCUUAACCGAGGAAGUGCAUCCGAAACUGGCGAGCUAGAGUACUAAAGAGGAUCGCGGAAUUCCCGGUGUAGAGGUGAAAUUCGUAGAUAUCGGGAGGAACACCAGUGGCGAAGGCGGCUCACUGGUCCGGUACUGACGCUGAGGUGCGAAAGCGUGGGGAGCAAACAGG
rnacentral:rRNA from 1 species